AGUAGAAACCAACAGAAGCCCUAACCCUAAGUCCCUAACAACCACUUUUAAAACCCGAAAUACACGAAAACCACAAGCCUCCCAUAAUUCUCAGAAGAUACCAUUACAACCCAACGAAAAUAACAAGUAGCCAUACUUGGACGAUCAAUCUACACAGAAAACGAAAAUCUAGAACUGAAGAAACGUACAGUUUACAGAUUUUGGAGUACU
rnacentral:misc_RNA from 1 species